AAAAAAGCAAGAGUAGUCUCUGACAAAUUAAAACAUCUAUGCAUAUAGUCAAAGUCCAAUAAAUCUUCAGGUCAAGAUUUUGUUCUGGGAAUCGCUUUACUCAAGAAGAAUGUUGGGACCGGUGGUUUCUCUUCUUCCUCAUGCUUCUCGGCAAGGCAGUAGACUAGUGGCUCGUCGUGGUAAUUGGCUUUUUGUGUUUAAGUAGCAUAUCAAAUUUUCCCUUUCGUUUUCUUCUGGAUUUUUGGGGUCAAUGGUGGUCUCUGCCAGUCUUGGGAAAUGGUUUGGUGGCUACGGUGAGUGGUUUUUCGAUUCUAUGCAGUAUCGCCGAGAUUUGGUUUCUUCAUCGCUUUAUUCGAGUGUACUUUGGUGGUUCUUCGACCACAGAGUCUGUUGUGAGUUCAAGUGCACAUUCAGAAAUGAUAUUUGGCUCAAUCCCAACUCGUGUAGUGUGGAGAGUUGUAUCGACAAUUGUUGCCUAUGGUUCCUAAGUAACUUGUCAAGAUGGAUUUCCUUUGUGCAGCUUUUUUUCUUAUUCCUCCGAAAAUGACUCUUGUUGUGUAGUGUUUCUUAUGUUGUAUUUGUUCUUGUUUUGUCUUUAUUGACACUGGAUGACAGAUUUUCACAGCUUAGAGUUUUGUUCUUUGGUU